GUUGAAUCUGGCAAUGUGACAUCACAGAUAUGGAGGACCUUAUGUCUAUUGAUUGAUGUAGGCUAUUUCAGUUUGACUUUAUUGUGUUGUGACUAAUCUUGCAUAAAUCCUUUUGUGAACAUAUUUUCAUUGCUUUUUUACAAAUAGGUAGAAGUGGAAUUUCUUGGUCAAAUAUGAUAAUUUUUAUUUUAUUUUAUUUUAUUUUUGUAGUCCUGCCUCAAUCUGUAUCCAUCUUCAUCUAGAGUUAUUGGUGUUGUACCCUAUAUUGCUAGUUUUCUUUUAACCUCAUUUGUUUUCUCUUGACCUACACAUCUUUGAUUCAUUAAGACUCUGUUUCUUGUAUAAUAUUGAGAGUGCCAGUUUUUAGAUGCUUUCUUUUUUUCUGUUUCAUCAGGAGGAUUUUUUUCAGAAAGUGGACCUUUCCUUUAUUUGAGAGUUAUCCAAUUUCAAGAGUAAGAUUCUGAUAAUGAUUACCUGAUAAAAUUAGUAAAUACCAAAUCUGAAGUAAAAUCAUAAUUUGACCUUCAUAUUAAUAUAUUCAUUCUGUUCUUUGGCCUUGUUUUAUCAUGGAUUCCAUCUUUCUCUUUACUUUUAACUUAUGUUCAAAGAAAGAGAGAUGGAUACUGACCAUGCUAACUGGGAAGUUAAAUUGUCUUGAUUUUACUUCCUAUCUGAGUUAGUACUAAUCACAAGUGGAUGGGCAUUGUUCCAAGUUCAAGACUCAAUUUCUAGCAGAUAUUCAUGGCUAUGUUGGGUUGAGGUGGAGGUGCCUUCUAUGCCUAUGUUUUGUUUUCUAGUCAUCUUAGCUGAUGACUAGCAGAUCUGGGAAAAUCGACAGAACUUCCUGCAACUCUAAAGCUUUGUUCUCCUCACUUUCACUGCUUUGUAUGGUGACAUGCUUUCAGGUAUCCAUGGAACUCACACAAAUUUCCCCUAAGCUUCCUGCUUGUGCAUGUUGACAUUGAAUGCAGUUUGUGGUAGUUUAAAGAUUUGAUGGGAAAGGAAGCUGAAUGGACUCCCUAUCACCACAAAAAAAGGAGAACCCCUGAAUUUGAAGGAUGAUUGCCUAGAAUUUCAUUUGAACAGAUGGCUGUUGGUCCAGGAGAAGGGCAUUCAGUAGGAGAGAGAGAAAAUAUCAUUGGCUCUUUUCUUCAGGCAGAUGUAGCUCUUCUUUUUCAUGAAACAAUACUGAGUCAGCGCAAACAUUGUUUUCUUCAGUCUAAUCCAUCAAGUUUAAAGAUAGCAGGGCCAUUUUGGAAUUUUGACAAGGGCUUAUUUAUCAACCGUGGUUUGUGUUGUUUUUGUGAAUUUCCUUAUUUUUCUGUGUCUUAUUGAGAAGUUAGAGGAUAUAGCAUCAAAAUUUGUUUGCCAAUUUCAAGAGUGAGAUUCUCAUAAUACUUAACUGAUAAAUUAGUAAAUACCAAAUCUGAAGUAAAAUCAUAAUAAUGGAAAACACAUAGUACUUGUGGAAUACCAGACACUACUCUGAAUAAACUAAAUUGAGGUAAAUUAUAGGAUUAAUUAGUUAAUUAAUUUAUAGUCCAUUCUUAGAAUGUGAACUUUUGGGGGGUACGUAUCAAGUUUUGACUUUUAAUACUGGCAUGAAUUAAAGUGUCCAAAUUAUGCUCAGAAUUCAAUGAAAUUAAAUUAAUAGUAACACUGGGAACUGGACUUAGUAUUUUGCAGAGAGAGAACAUUCAAACAGAGUGAACAAAGUGGUUUCCUGUGCAUUUAUCUCUCUGUCUCUCUCUGGCUUUUUGUCUAUCCCUCCUUUUCUUAUUUAGUUUUCAAGCAAUUGUGGAAACUCAGCAUAUUUUAAAGAUAAUUUUUAAAGAAAGAUAUACAGUAAACAAUGCUUUUUUAAUAGUUUAAAAGAAGAUAACAUCCUAAAAAAUGACUGAAAAGUACAUGCUGACACAUUUAGUGAGUGCUGUGACACCAGAGGAGCACAGUACUCUGAAGCUGCCCAUGUUGAUGCGUAGACAAAUACGUGAUUGUGUAAUAUACAGAGGUCCUGUGGACGGUGUGCAUAUAGCACUAGAGGAAAAAACCAAACAAAAACAAACAAACAAAAAACAGGAAAGCUUUCCUGACUAGAAAAACUGUGAGGUGCAAUGCAUAUUACUUAGCCAUCUGAAAUCCAAAGAGGGCUAGUGCUUCUUUUUUUAGAACACUUCUGGUGAGUGGUUCACCAGGUAUUAGUUUCCAUCAAAUUUAGUCUGGAUUUGUUUGGGCCCUUUCCACAUUUUUAUGCUGUUUCCGUAAGACAUUUUUUUUUUCUGAAAUCCUAGAAAUUAUUUGAUGCUUGACUCAGGUUUCUUCCACCUGACCUGAGAAAGCAAAUGCUCAGAGGAAGGGUCACCUUAGUUCCCUCAGUGGGGCUUGUGAUGUCCACAUGUGGACAGCCCUCACUGCAAUCCCCUGGAGGAGGGCUGGUAUUAGGCAGUGCUGGUUGGGGACUCAAGGAAGGAAAUGAUGGUCAUAUCUUCCCUUCUUCCAGGUCUCUUAUUUGGCAUCCUGUGCACCUCCAUGGCUGUGGCCGCAUCUCUCCUGGGGGGCGUUGUACAGGUAACUAACAAGGGAAAAGACACAUUUAACUUCAUAGCAACUUUGUCCUCACUCAUUUUUCUAAUGUUUUAACUAUUUCUCUAGUCUCCAACUACUGAUAUUCAAACAUAUCAGGUCCCAAUUAAACAUCCAUGCAAUAUUUCAACCAAAAGUAUCUUCAGAAGCAGAAACUUCUACAACAAGAAUGGAUAGAGACAAAGUUCACUGUGUUAAAAUUAAUUUAAAAAUUCUAUCAAUAAUAACCAUAAUAGUGAAAACACCAAUUAACAUAUAUAAUACCUAUUAUGAACUAGGUAUAGCCCUUUAUGUAUUACCUAAUUUAAUGUUUAUAACUUUCUUAAGGGGUUAUGUAAUUAAUAUAUUCAUUUUCCUGAUGAAGAAACAAAGAAUUGUCCCAAACUCACACAAUUAAUGAGUGGUGAAAUUAGGAUACAACUAAGUAUUAUUAUCAAAAUCAAACUGUUGCUCAUAUAUUCAACUCCCAGUUCCAUAAAACAUUAGCAUUACAAGGAAGCACAAGAAUAAUCUAUUGCAACACCUUCAUUUUGUAGAUGAUUGUAGAAAAGAAUGAAAAUAUCCUGCUUAAGUUCUCACAGCUACCUGGGAUUGAUUGAACCCAAGGGGCUUUAGUUACAUCCCCAUCCCUUUUUAAAUUUUUUAAAUUUAUUUUGAGACAGGGUCUCACUAAGUUGCUUAGGGCCUUGCUAAGUGGCUGAGGCUAGCUUUGAAAUUGCAAUCCUCUGUGUUGGUUCCUAAGUCACUAGAAUUACAAGUCUGUUCCACUGCGCCUAGCUAUGAUAUGGGUUUUCAAUAAAUGCUGCCUAAUUGAAGAAAUGAGUAAGAGUAAAUGAAUAGAAACCACUGGAUAGUGAACAGCAAUGGUAAGAUUGAGUGGAUAUUAAUAAAAUAGAAUCCAUAUUAUAUAUAUAUAUAUAUAUAUAUAUAUAUAUAUAUAUAUAUACCUUCUAGUUCACAAAAGGGUUCAUCCUACUUUCUCUUUCAAAGGACUACUUACAUAGCUUCAGUUAUUUCCAUUUUAAUAUUCAGAGAAUAAAUCUGAGAUAUUUAAGUGACUUGAUUACUUACUGUUUAAAGAAGAUAAUUUGUGGAAUCAAUUUAGUAUCCUUUCUGUUAAGUUGUGAACUUACUAUUUAUCACAGAUACUUGAUUAUAAUCCUUUUACACAGCUUGAAGUAUACUGAUAUUUCCCUAUCCACAAGAAACACUGGCAACUAGGUGAAGUUUGUUUUUAGUGACCUCAUGUGCAUUUUUUAAAGGUUUAUUUUCACAAUUCAUGGAAUCUCUAUUUCUAAUCUACUUCCAAAGCCUUGAGGCUUGUUGUUUUCAUUUGGUAUUUAUUCUUUAAGAGGUGUCAACCUGUUUAAUUUGGUGAUAAUUUGAAUCUCUAAAUUGUUUCCUCCCAAAAAUAUUUGCAUUGGUAAAUGAGGGGGCUCCAGAGAAGGCCAGGACUUUCCCAAGUACUGGGGAAAAAUAACAGAGUAGGGAGUGCAUUGAGGGAUGCACUCACCUGCCUGUCCUACUUUAGAUGAGAGUUGGGCUCACUUUCCUGAUUGAAAUGUGUGCCACAGGGAGGAAGAGCAGGAAGAAAAGAUUAACAUUAAACAGAUACAUGAGGUGGGAUGGAAAGGGAGAGAAAAGGGAAAUUGCAUGGUAAUGGAGGGAGACCCUCAUUGUUAUACAAAAUUACAUAUAAGAGGUUGUGAGGGGAAUGGGAAACUAUCCAAGGAGAGAUAUGAAUUACAGUGGAUGGGGUAGAGAGAGAAGAUGGGAGGGGAGGGAGGGGGGAUGGUAGAGGAUAGGAAAGGUAGCAGAAUACAACAGUUACUAAUAGGGCAUUAUGUAAAAAUGUGGAUGUGUAACCGAUGUGAUUCUGCAAUCUGUAUUUGGGAUAAAAUUGGGAGUUCAUAACCAACUUGAAUCUAAUGUAUGAAAUAUGAUAUGUCAAGAGCUUUAUAAUGUUUUGAACAACCAAUAAAAAAAAUUAAAAAAAAAAAAAGAAAAAAAAAAAGAAAUGUGUGCCACACAGUUCAUGAAGUAUAGGAGAUGCUGGCAGGUAAGAAAUGAAGCCCUGAUAUUCCACUUCCUUGGAGAUGUAUUUGUCUCCAAGAUGGUCCAUUCAUUUUUGUGAACACAUCUGACUUUGUUGGACACAUAAAAGCAACUGAAAUUUUUCUAUGUUUUAAUUGGUUCUUUCUAGUUAUACAUGAUAAUACAAUUCAUUCUGGCAUACUUAUAAAAGCAUGGAACAUAAUUUGUCCUGGUUCAGUCCUCAGUACUUCCCUUUUCCCUCUCCUCCUCCCUCCCUCUGUUCUCCUCCCUCUACUCUACUGAUCUUUCUGCUAUUUACUUAUAUAUAUAUUUAAACUCAGUGUCUUUUGAAUAUACUUGAUGUUGAUAUUCAAUGAAAUAUAUUUAUAUAUGUGCAUAGGAAAGUUAGGUCAGACACUUCUCAAAACAAGAAAUACAAAUAUAUGAAGUUGAUCUAUUUAAUUUUCCAAACAGUUUUGCUAUAUUUGAUUUAAUGAAACAUUAUUCAUAUUCUGAUGUUGCAUGUAGAAGAAGACAGGAACCCAAAUCUCUCAGUGUGAAGGAUAGAGCCAGUUUUAAUUUCAUGUUUGCAAAACCACCCCACACGUAUGAGAUGUUCUUGAAGGUGGGGCAGGAAUGACAGACCACUUAAACAAAGGCAGGCCGGUUCAAUGUGUGGCUGUUCUUGUUGUCAUUUUUUAAUUUGGUUUAUUUCAGAGAUUUUGUUUGCUUGUGUAGCAAUGCUGGUGUAAGACUUUAGUUUGAAAUGUUACAAAGUAUGUCCUGGAGAAUGUUAUCCUGUGAAAUGUGUCACACAUGUUCCAAGGAAGAAGAUUUUCAUAGUCAAAGACUGGAACAUGGUGCACACUGCAUUGCUCUCUCAGAUCCACAACACACAUUAAUACAUUGAAGACUCUGGGAAAUCCAACAGUAAGGAAACCUGUUUCACUUGAAAUGUGUAACCACAGAACCAUAAUAAGGUGGGAGAGGGGAGAGAGAUCAGAUAAUGGUAACAAAAAUCUCCCUUUAGCAAGAGAAUUGCAGCCUUCCUUCUAGAAAGGUCAUUCUAACCAACACACACCUGUCCUAAGGACUGUCAGCUAAGGGCUGAAGUGACAUGAGGAUACAUUUUUAAUCUCAUCCGAAGAAAGUACUUUCUAGAUCUCAAAACAUUACAACAACAAAGGAUAUCCCUCAAAAAUUUAGAGAUCACUAACAGGGUAGGUAAUAGCAGCAAUGAAGAUUGUGAGAGUCAUAGUGCACAUUCUGGGCCCCUUAUCAUGUGCUCCCUGGUGCUCAGACAUUAUUCUGAACUUUCUCUUGGAUUCGACAUUGAAUACUAACUAAAACAAUAAAAAAAAUACAGAAAAAAACACUAGGAAGCAGAUAUUAUGAUGUGCCCUUGACACAUGAGGAAUAAAGCAUGGAAAGGUCAAUUAUGCAUAAGCUCCUCAGUCAACCCUGAACACAAAGCAUAUUCCUGUAGACAUUGCUGUUAACUUGUAGGAAUAGCUCAGAUUGGAUUUUGAGCAUUAAGGAGAAAACUGAGUUUGAUGAGCUUUAACUCUUCCUCCAAUUAAACAUGUUUAAUAACAAAAAGAAAGAUAAAAGUUAAAAGUAAUUUGCUUUGUCCAACACAGAAAUACAUAUGUAUAUUAUAUUUCAACACACACACACACACACUUAAAUCCAGAAACUCUUGGAUAUUUUUUUUCCCUGAGGCAUCUGGCUAGCGACUUUGUAAGAGCUUGUUGAUUUUUAUUUCAUGAAGGAAGAGAAAUGUAUUUACUAUUUCAUUGAUCUUCUAUAUAAUAGCCAGUAAAUUAGCUUCCAAAUUUAGCAACUACAGCAACUAUGAAUUAGUGCUGUUGAUCAAUAGAGGAAAUAUCAAGAAUAUUCAAUUGAGAAUAAUGGGGAAAAGGAAGCCUUUAAUCUUACCUGCUCCAUCAUGUCAAAGACAUAUCUGAAGCACUGACUUUGCUAAAAAGUAACCUGGGAAAGCAAUACUAACAAUGCAUAGCAGCUCAUCUUUCUGGACAAAGACAGAGUGUUCUGGAUAUGAACACUGAAGAGGACUGGAAGGUCUGUUGCCCCUGCAUAGUUUUAUAGAGAAAGAAGAAAACUGCAGUUGAAUGAAUGUGAGUUAGUAACAGAAAGUUCAACAAAUCCUAGUGAUGUGGGUCAGGGCAAUAAUUACAAUUCAAAUAUUCUAAAUAUAAAUGGUGGAUUCUUUCAAAAGAUUGCUUUUCCUUUAAACAGAAGAAUUAGGACAUAGUGGUCUGUGCUCUUGACAUUCUUUUGUAAGACUACUUUUAGAAAGAAAAUGUAGAAUUUGGAGCCAUAACAAUUUGAAUUUAUAUCUUUACCUCUGCCACUUGCUAAAUACAAAGUGAACUUUGAUAUUUUCUUUCAGCACCAAUUUUCUCAGAUACAAAAUUUAGUUAGUGUUACCUAUUAAGAUGAGUGACUGUGAGGAUUAAAUUUGUCCAGGGUGCACAAGCAGUUCUGUCUUGCAUAUAGUUGGCCCCUGAAAAAUAGGAUAAGAUCUUAGAUAAGAUCUGUCCUCUGUAAGUGCUUUGAGGAACUGGAAGGGGCUUCAUUGACAGUAGUUGGUGUGAGUACAUGCACACAAGUGUAUAUUUAUGUGUUUCUUCAUUUGCAUAGGCUCAUUCACUUGCACAUAAAUGCACAUGCAUUUUCUAACUCUUGGAAGACCAUGGAAUAAAGCUUUAUGUUUACAGAAAAUUAGUUUAAAGAAAGUCCCUGGCCAAUUCAAUGGAGUCUAUAACUUAGAAGUUGAAAGAUGUGGAAAUACACUUCUCAAACUCUCUCAAUUUCCAAACUAGAUGGAGCAUAAUCAUGAGAGACAAAAAAUGGAAGGUGGAGUGUAUAAUGUCCUCUCCACAUGUCUGAACUUAAUGUUUCAAUAUCCUAGAGAUGUAAUGGGUGGGAUGGUAGUGGUUGGGUAACAGACAAAAAAGAAAGAAUGAAAGAAAGAAUUGUUCAAACUAAGCUAAAUAGUUUAUCAACUAAGAUAUAAAAAAUGUAGUAGACAUAUUUAUUUAGUACAUUAUUUUUAUUUUUCCACAUUUUUAUUGGUGCAUUAUAGUUUUACAUAAUGAAGGGAAUUGUUGUUACUUAUAACAAUAUAAUACAGUACAUUAUUUUUCAAAAACAAUUUUUUAGGAUGCUCGUAACUGACCCAAGGCCCUUGUGCAUGUUAGGCAAGCACUAACCUAUAUCUCUAGUCAAAAAAAGAAAAAAAACAAAUAACUUUUGAUAAUAUAAAAAUAUAAACAAAUGUAUAAGUUCCAACUCAAGUGAAACCUUCUUCAAGCAAAUCCAAAUCACCUGUUUUCACUUUGCAACCAUACAUAUGUGCACAUAUACUCACACAUAUAUACAAGCAUGUGUGUGGGUUCAUAUGUAUGUAACUUUCCUUUUUAUUUAUUUAUUUUUUCAGUUUCUUUUUUUAUACAAUGCUUAUCACUGGAUCCAGAAUUGACCUAAGGAAAGCACAUAAUUAAUAAAUGGCACAGUCUGGACUUGAACCAAAUUAUAUCAAGUCCCAGAGAAGGAUGGUUCUGGUAGAACACAGAUAUAGUAGAGUUGUGAGACUCAUCUGAUCUCCUUCAUUCCACAGGCUGCCCUCAGCAUCCAUGGAAUGUGUGGGGGACCAAUGCUGG
rnacentral:lncRNA from 1 species